AGAGGCGGUGCUCACGCCUAUAAAUAGAGGUGUGGUGUCUGUUUUAGUUGGCUGAAAAAACCAAAACCACUCCUUCCUUUGUAAUACUUACUUUCAUAAUAAAAGUUCUGUUUUUUUUUAAUCCAUACACCCUUGCCUUUGUAGCCCAUAUUUCACACAUACACACUUGCACACACACACGCUUCCGCAAAAACACCAACAAUAUCCCUCCAAAUCCCAACUUGAGAGUCUACCCACUAGUCAUUGCAACACAUCCGUCUCAACCUAACCAGUUUGCACUAGGGCUUACUGACGGCAGUGUCUAUGUGCUUGAGCCAUUGGACUCUGAAGGAGAGUGGGCUGGUUCCCCUUCUGUUGAAAAUGGUGCUGAGCCAAGCACGACAUCUGGCGCAACCAGUUCAGAUCAACCCCAAAGGUAGUGCAGGCCAUGUCUCUCCCUGUGAAACUUUGAGCAUUGAAUGCUGAGCUGGCUUUCCUUUGCCGCACUUGAUUCAAGUUUUGAGGGAUGCUGCAGAGGAUAGAUUUUACAGCCUCAGGGUCUUCUUCUGGACAUUGUUUGGUACAGUCUGUCUUAAGUGGUACAAUUAGCAUCCAAGUCAAUUUCUGCUCAAGUCCAGUGGCGAUAAUUUGUUUUAUUAUAUUCAUUUAGGCUGACUGAAAGUAAAAAAGAAGAACAUGGGAUUAGAGUGUUGCGAAGAAGGCAUUGUAAAGGCAAGUUUAUCUGAUUUUAGUUAGCAAGCUAAAGGAUCAUAGGAGCAGGGUUUAGUUUUCGUAUGUGGCUUCUUUUCUUGUUUCUUCUGCGUCAUGCUGAAAGGACUUCUCUUAUGUAUUUUAUUUAUUCUUUUAAUUUGCUGAAGUAGCACUUGUUAGCACUUAGCAGGUUCUCCUUUCUUGUUCUUUCGCCGCCAAAGUAAAACUUCUUCUUCUUCCUGCGUUCCUUUUAUGAAUGCAAUUUGAGUGCAACAGCACUCAGACCUUGGAUGAAA